GAGAGGGGAGGGAGGGAGGGAGGACUCAGCCUCCCCCUUUGGCUCAAAAUCACAAACGUGCCUCUGAGCUGCAGAAAACAGAAAAAUCUGCUGUUCCUGGAUCAGUUAUAUGGCAAGAGGAGAGGAGGGGGGUGACGUGAGGCCUGGUCCCCCAACAAAGUAAACAGGACGAGUCCCAGAGGGCCUGUCUGCUGCCAGACUGCGUUGGUCUCCAUGACUUUAGUUACCUUUAAUGUGUGUGCGUGUUGGGGGGGUAGUAAUGUAAUGGAAAAGUAAUCUGACGUGGAGGAGGGGGGGAGGAAAACCAGAAUCUAGGGUCGGAUCCAAGUGAGAUUACGAACACGGAGCUUGUGUGUUUCGGCCAAAAGGCCAGAUCUUAACUGCAGAGAUGGUUUCAUCUAAAGUUAAACAUCUCCUCCACACGCCACUGGGUUCAGACGAUACACCAUCUGAAACAACACACACAUUAAACCUGACUGAAGCAGAUCGUCAUGAAUGGUGCAGGUGAGGCUUUCAGACAGAUCACACGCUGCAACUCGGCGUGCGCGCGGAACAGCAGCAACAUGUCUUCACCUGAAAGAAUUCACCUACAGAAGCAGAGGGAACGUUUAGCCUAAGCCCUCAGCCAGCAAGAACACCGCACCUGAAACUCCAACUUCAUUUCUGGGAGCAACAAACUUCUCCGUGUGUGGAUGAAGGUCUGGAAACCCCUCUGAUCAGCUGACCCCACACAGCAAGUGUGGCUAUGAAAAACAGCAGCAGCUCGUCUCUCUGAACCUGGAUCAGAUCCUCGCAAAUAGAGAUAAUCAAUCAAUCAAUCAAUCAAUCAAAUUUUAUUUCUAAAGCGCUUUUCAAACAAAGUGUUAUUCAAAGUGCUUUACAAAAUGACCCCAGAUUCCCAUAAAAGGUUAAAAACAUUAACAAACAUAUGCAAUCACACGCACACACACACAGACUCACACACACACACACACACGAGUAAAAAUUAUAUUAGGCUGAGUCCAGAUGAGCCAAGUAUGGUAACGCAAGGAAACGCCAUCAGAGGAGCCGUCUGCCCCGGCAGCAUCAGGUCUUCCACACCAAGUCAGGGCGCUCAGUGGAGGGGGAGCAUAGACCCCCACCUAUAGAGCGCCCCGGAAGCUACAGUUGACCACCGCUCCCGGGGCAGAGGGCCCCCACAGAGGAAACACUGGAUUAAAAUGAGAAAAAAUGUAAUAUAAGAGCUAAUAUAAAUGACAAAAAUUAGAAAAUAAGUAAUAAAUAA